rnacentral:rRNA from 1 species
UGGGGAAUUUUGGACAAUGGGGGCAACCCUGAUCCAGCAAUGCCGCGUGUGUGAAGAAGGCCUUCGGGUUGUAAAGCACUUUUGUCCGGAAAGAAAACUUCGGGGCUAAUACCCCUGGAGGAUGACGGUACCGGAAGAAUAAGCACCGGCUAACUACGUGCCAGCAGCCGCGGUAAUACGUAGGGUGCGAGCGUUAAUCGGAAUUACUGGGCGUAAAGCGUGCGCAGGCGGUGCUGUAAGACCGAUGUGAAAUCCCCGGGCUUAACCUGGGAACUGCAUUGGUGACUGCAGCGCUGGAGUAUGGCAGAGGGGGGUGAAAUUCCACGUGUAGCAGUGAAAUGCGUAGAGAUGUGGAGGAACACCGAUGGCGAAGGCAGCCCCCUGGGCCAAUACUGACGCUCAUGCACGAAAGCGUGGGGAGCAAACAGG